CGUUCGGACUGCUGGUUGAGUGAGAUAAAAACUUAGAGAGCUAAAUGCAAGGUUAGUGACAUGUAUGAAUAGUUUUCUAGGGGCAUGGUCAAAUAGCUUAGUUCAGGAUAAGUCUAGGGACCCCAGAUUGGUUGAAAUUGAAACCAUUUAGGUUGAAUGCCAUAGUACUAAUACCUAAAGCAGUGAACCAGAUCCCUACUACAGGCCAAGCAGCCAAUAAGAAGUGUAAAGAACGAGAAUUGUUGAAACUAGCAUAUUGGAAGAUUAAUCGACCAAAAUAACCGUGAGCAGCCACAAUAUUAUAAGUAUCUUCUUCCUGACCAAAUUUGUAACCCUCAUUAGUAAACUCAUUUUCAGUGGUUUCCCUGAACAAACUAGAGGUUACCAAGGAACCAUGCAUAGCACUGAAUAGGGAACCGCCGAAUACACCAGCUACACCUAACAUGUGAAAUGGAUGCAUAAGGAUGUUGUGUCUACCUAGAAUACAAUCAUAAAGUUGAAAGUACGAGAUAUUCCUAAAGGCAUGCCAUCAGAGAAACUUCCUUGACCAAUAGGGUAAAUCAAGAAAACAACAGUAGCAGCUGCAACAGGAGCUGAAUAUGCAACAGCAAUCCAAGGGCGCAUACCCAGACAGAAACUAAGUUCCCACUCAUGACCCAUAUAACAAGCUACACCAAGUAAGAAGUGUAGAAUAAUUAGCUCAUAAGGACCACCAUUGUAUAACCAUUCAUCAACAGAUGCAGCUUCCCAAAUUGGGUAAAAAUGCAAUCCGAUCGCCGCAAAAGUAGGAAUAAUAGCACCAGAGAUAAUAUUGUUUCCAUGAAGUAAAGAACCAGAAACAGGCUCACGAAUACCAUCAAUAUCUACUGGAGGAGCAGCGAUGAAGGCGAUAAUAAAUACGGAAGUUGCGGUCAAUAAGGUAGGGAUCAUCAAAACACUAAACCAUCCAAUGUAAAGACGGUUUUCGGUGCUAGUUAUCCAGUUGCAGAAGCGAUCCCAUAGGCUUGUACUUUCGCGUCUCUCUAAAAUUGCAGUCAUGGUAAGAUCUUGGUUUAUUCAAAUUGCAAGGACUCCCAAGCACACGUAUUAACUAGAAAGAAAAUAUAUAAU
rnacentral:lncRNA from 1 species